rnacentral:rRNA from 1 species
CUACAGGAUUCCCCUAGUAACUGCGAGUGAAGCGGGAAAAGCUCAAAUUUGAAAUCUGGCGGUCCUUUGCGGCCGUCCGAGUUGUAAUCUAGAGAAGUGCUACCCGCGCUGGACCGUGUACAAGUCUCCUGGAAUGGAGCGUCACAGAGGGUGAGAAUCCCGUCUUUGACACGGACUGCCAGGGCUUAUGUGGUGCGCUCUCGAAGAGUCGAGUUGUUUGGGAAUGCAGCUCUAAAUGGGUGGUAAAUUCCAUCUAAAGCUAAAUACAGGCGAGAGACCGAUAGCGAACAAGUACCGUGAGGGAAAGAUGAAAAGAACUUUGGAAAGAGAGUUAAACAGUACGUGAAAUUGCUGAAAGGGAAACGUUUGAAGUCAGUCGCGUUGGCUGGGGAUCAACCUUGCUCUUGCAGGGCGCACUCUCUGGUUCGACGGGUCAGCAUCAGUUUCGGCCGCUGGAGAAAGGCUAGGGGAAUGUGGCAUCGCUUCGGUGAUGUGUUAUAGCCCUUGGUCGUAUGCAGCGGCUGGGACUGAGGAACUCAGCCUGCCCUUAACUGGGCCGGGUCUUUUUGACCACGCUUAACGGGCUUAGGAUGCUGGCAUAAUGGCUUUAAGCGACCCGUCUUGAAACACGGACCAAGGAGUCUAACAUGCUUGCGAGUGUUUGGGUGGAAAACCCGAGCGCGUAAUGAAAGUGAAAGUUGGGAACCCUGUCGUGGGGUGCACCGACGCCCGGACCAGACCUUCUUGUGACGGCUCCGCGGUAGAGCAGGCAUGUUGGGACCCGAAAGAUGGUGAACUAUGCCUGAAUAGGGUGAAGCCAAAGGAAACUCUGGUGGAGGCUCGUAGCGAUUCUGACGUGCAAAUCGAUCGUCAAAUUUGGGUAUAGGGGCGAAAGACUAAUCGAACCAUCUAGUAGCUGGUUCUGCAG